rnacentral:rRNA from 1 species
UAAUACGAAGGGUGCAAGCGUUAAUCGGAAUUACUGGGCGUAAAGGGUGCGUAGGCGGUUCGUUAAGUCUGUCGUGAAAUCCCCGGGCUCAACCUGGGAAUGGCGAUGGAUACUGGCGAGCUAGAGUGUGUCAGAGGAUGGUGGAAUUCCCGGUGUAGCGGUGAAAUGCGUAGAGAUCGGGAGGAACAUCAGUGGCGAAGGCGGCCAUCUGGGACAACACUGACGCUGAAGCACGAAAGCGUGGGGAGCAAACAGG